rnacentral:rRNA from 2 species
CGCGGCCUAUCAGCUUGUUGGUGAGGUAAUGGCUCACCAAGGCUCCGAUUGGUAGCCGGCCUGAGAGGGCGGACGGUCACACUGGAACUGAGACACGGUCCAGACUCCUACGGGAGGCAGCAGUGAGGAAUUUUCGUCAAUGGGGGAAACCCUGAACGAGCAACGCCGCGUGGAGGACGAAGACCUUCGGGUUGUAAACUCCUGUCGGACGGGACGAAAGUUAUCGAGGUUAAUACCCUUGGUAGUUGACGGUACCGUACGAGGAAGCCCCGGCUAACUUCGUGCCAGCAGCCGCGGUAAUACGAGGGGGGCAAGCGUUGUUCGGAAUUACUGGGCGUAAAGGGCGCGUAGGCGGUCUGACAAGUCUUCCGUGAAAGCCCACGGCUCAACCGUGGAACUGCGGGGGAAACUGCCAGACUUGAGUCCGGGAGGGGAGAGUGGAAUUCCCAGUGUAGCGGUGAAAUGCGCAGAUAUUGGGAGGAACACCGGAGGCGAAGGCGUCUCUCUGGACCGGUACUGACGCUGAGGCGCGAAAGCCAGGGGAGCGAACGGGAUUAGAUACCCCGGUAGUCCUGGCCGUAAACGAUGAGCACUGGAUGUGGCGGGUAUUGACCCCUGCCGUGUCGGCGCUAACGCAUUAAGUGCCCCGCCUGGGGAGUACGG